rnacentral:snRNA from 1 species
GGAUGUGAGGGCAAUCUGACUGUGACAGCUGUCACCCCAUUGAUCGCCAGGGUGAAUUUGACAGACCUGGCUAGCUAUGCGGGUGUCCACUUCCUCUCUCAAUGCUCCACAUGUGUCCCUCCUGAAGCUGGAGGCUUGGUCAAAGAGGACGACCACCACCAAUAGAGGAGAACCAUUCCUCGGUUUAGCGUUUAUAAGUAGCUGCAUUUCCCUGCUAGAACCUCCAAACAAGCUCAAAUGAAGCUUACUGGUAGAGUGGAUCAAGCAACAGAAUUCAACAAUAUGCUGUAUACAAGGAACA